rnacentral:lncRNA from 1 species
AUCUAUUGAUCUCCAUCUUGAUUGUGCUUGUCUUCUCCAUCUCCAAUCUUGAUCAACACCACUUCUGUCUGGAUCGUCUGGUACCACUUAUCCACGAUAACCAAACUCUAAUACCAAUUGUUAUGCUCUAAUACCACUUGUUGAAGGAGGAAAAAAAAGAAAGAGAGAGAAAAAUACCACAAACAAAUCAAGGUAACGUGAAUUGGCCUCAAGCCUACCUCUAUGGAGCAUGCAAGCUUCACUAUGAGAGAAAAAAAAUCAAACAAAUACAAGAACUC